UGCCACGUUCCUCUAUCAUUAAUUCAUUAACUAUUAUCUUGUUGUUUGUUUGCGAUCAUAUACUUCAUAUCAUUUCAUAUAUAUUAUAUUCAACAGACCUGCUAGAAAUCCAGGAACCAUUCAAUCGGCACCCCCUAUUGGAGGGGGGCUGUACUAGGGCCCUUGUGGCCCUGGAUGAGGAGAGUUUUCCUUUUUUCAAUAUGUUUUAUUUCUCAACGAGUGAUAUCAAAGUUAUAGGUUGUGAUUUAUUUGAGGUUUCCCAUCUAGUUGGAUCUGAGGUCAGAGAUAAAGAAGCUCUUGUUGUUCACAGUGAUCGACGAAGGGAUAAGUCGAUGUCAAAUUUCAAUAAUCAGGUUUGUUAUUAUUGCAAGAAGAAAUGACACAUUAAGAGAGAUUGUGACAAAUUAUAGAACAAAGGUAAUUUGACUGCAAAUUAUGGGAAGCAAUCAAAUAUUUUAGAUGAGAUCAACAUAGCCGAGAACUAUUUGAGUAGCGCAAAUGUUUUGACGAUUUUUGACAUGGAAUCCAAAAUUGAAGAGAAGUGGAUUUCGGAUACAAUUUGUGCAUUCCAUAUGUGUCCCAAUCGAGAUUUGUUUGAAACAUAUGAAAUGAUGACUCUAGGUGUCAUUGUCAUGUGUAAUAAUGAACCUUGUCGGGUAGCUAAUAUUGGUAGGGUCAAAUUGAAGCUGAUUGAUGAAACAUGUAGAAUACUUGAUCACAUUCGACAUAUUCUAGAAUUGAAGAAGAAUCUCAUUUCGUUGAAUAGUUUUGACUCAAAAGGAUACCCAUUAUCUGAAGGAGGUGGAGUUUUGAGGGUUCGAAUUGGUGUUCGUGUUAUAUUAGAUGGGUGAAAGAGGUCCCAGUUAUUCAUCUUGCAUGGUCGGGGUAGAAUUUGUGAAGAAACGUCAGGACAUAUUUAGUUUGAUACGUACCUUUGGGGUGUGGUUUGGGGUCUAUAUUGAAAAAUACUACUUAGUUGAGUUUGGAAUAUAUGGGCGAUUCCACUUUGCCAUUAUUACUUGCGGUUCCAUCGUACUCAAUAGCUAAGGGAAGACCCAUUGGAGAUAGAUACGUGUAUGCUUAUUUGGUUACACAUGCUUUUAGCAUUUUUGAAGGUAUUGAAACUAGUAGGGGUAUAGGGUAUGCUUUGACACUUUUUGAUAAUUUAUAAUUCUUUGUGAAUUUUGGAGAAACUUGGUGUUUGUGGUCAUGUAUUCGUAUUGGAUACCAUAGAAGAUGAGUAUUUUCAAAUUUGAGAAAGUUUCGUUCUUGUUGAAGAGUUUGGAUUUUUCAUUGCAGUUGGAUUUAUUAUUCUAGGUAGAGAAAUUUUGGAUUUCAUUCGCUACAUCGAAAUUUAUGUUAAGGUGGAGAUUAUUGGAUUUUUUUACCCAAAUUAGGUUGGAUUUUUUGGAACAAAAAAUUUCUUUAUUCUAUGUAUAUUUUUUAUUUUUGUUUCCAUCUUUGUGAUAUUUCAAGGGUUUGACGUCCAUUCCUAUAAAUACUUGA
rnacentral:lncRNA from 1 species